rnacentral:rRNA from 1 species
UACGGGGGGAGCAAACGUUGUCCGGAAUCAUUGGGCGUAAAGAGCGUGUAGGCGGUCCGGUAAGUCGGCUGUGAAAGUCCAGGGCUCAACCCUGGGAUGCCGGUCGAUACUGCCGGACUAGAGUUCGGAAGAGGCGAGUGGAAUUCCCGGUGUAGCGGUGAAAUGCGCAGAUAUCGGGAGGAACACCAAUGGCGAAGGCAGCUCGCUGGGACGUUACUGACGCUGAGACGCGAAAGCGUGGGGAGCAAACAGG